AAAAAGACAAAUCCUGGGUUUUCGUGUCCAACGUUUGACCCUUCGUCUUAUUUAAAAAAAAUUAAAAAGAUAAGACACGCAUAAAGUAUUAAUCAUGUUUUAUCAUCUAACAACAAUGAAAAUACUAAUUAUAAAAAAAAUUUAUAUAAGACAAACAGUCAAACGUUGGACACGGAAACCUAGGGUUUAUUUUUUG
rnacentral:pre_miRNA from 1 species